CUCCUACAGGCAUUUCAGCUUGAAUGUGUUAUGGGUUGUGCUGUUGGAAAACGUGGUGUGUGGCAGUUUUGGGCUUUUCCCUGAUACGGAUGCCACUGGAAGUCCUGCCUACCACCAUUUUCCAGCUACCAAAGCAUCACCAGGGCUCAGAGUGCUGUCACCAGUUGUGGUCCACCAGUGGGAAACACAUGGGAAGGGGUGAGAGAAUCAGCAUGAGGUCCUGCCCGCCUGAUAUCAUGGCUGGAGCACUUGCUGCUGCCCCUUGCACUUCCUUGGCAUCCACCUGGGGAGCUGAGAGAAGAGGAUUGAUUCAGCUGCAGCCACGUCUCUUUUGAGGGGGAAAACCAGGCUGGGAAAAGGGGAGUGAAAGGAGCGUGGGGCUGGCAGAGGGGGCUGUGCCUCCAAAACCAAGGAGCUCGCGGCACCACUCCCAGCAGCUAAUUGGGGCAUCACCUCCAGUGCCCAACCGUGCCAGCUUUGAAGUUGUUUUUUGUCCCUGCUCUGCAAUUAGUGCUCAGCAUUGACGCUGCUUUGGGUCCUGCUCUCCUCUCACAACAGCUGCUAUUGUGAAGGGACAAGCUGUAGAAAGAGGUUUAGGUUUGUUGAUCAGUGAGAGGGUGCCCUAACAACCACUGUGUCUUUUUUUUCCAACUCAGUGACAGUGAUAAACUUGAUUACCAGGUGAGGGUUUUUUUUUCUGAAUAGAGACAGGGAAGUAUUGGUAUAUUUAUACUUUGGCAUUCUUCAGUGAAUUAUUUGUAUAGCUUUCAUUACCCAUGGUCCAGCAGGAUUAACUAAUUAAAUGGUUACAGUGAGAAGAAUGUCAUAUCUUCCUCUGCAGGAAACAUGAAAAGAAGCUGGCUUCUGAAACUGGUGACAUUAAUGGUAUCUCCUUAUAAAUAUGUUUUUGGGAACAGGGAGAAAGGGAAAAAUCACAGAGGGAGAAGAAGCAUUUGAGUUAAGUGACACUACUGGCUCCAACCCUACUGGCUAGAAAUUGGUCACAAGGGACUUCAGGCUUGAAAUUAGUAAAAUCAUUCGAAGAUGAAAGUUCUGGAUCAGUCUCUCAAUUUUAAAAUGGAAUGUACCAAGUUAUUGAAAAGAUUGUGCAGCAGAGGAAGAAAAUUCUUAAUAAUAAACAAGACAUGCCCUCAGAUAACCCUGAACUAGCAUGUCCAAAGGGAUUGGAAAGGCGAUUAUGUCACCAUUCACAUUUCCCUUAUUAUUAGACCCAUGCUCUAGUGCAAAAGGGAUGUAGGAGCCACAGAGGAAGCCCUUUCUUCUCCCCACAACAGAUAGAUAGUGCAGGAUGUAUGGUGAAGUAAGAAGCUGUUCAGUGCUCUGGUGGAGGGAUGGUGCACCCCGUUUGUGUCCUUAGGUUUAAUCUCUGGAUUUAGAGCUGAACAGGAAUUUUCCUACAAGCCAGGUGAGCAGUGCUUCCCUCCUGCCCUCAGCUUUGGGGAAGGCAUGGUCCAGUUCUAAGGUCAAUGUGGAAGCUCCCUGUGGUAGCCUCCUUCUACCAUCAGCAGAGAGAAACAUGCAUUUUGGGGGGGUAACUCAUCUAAAUAUAUUACAUAUUUACUUUGGGCUGAGACAAAGUCUGCUCCGAAGAUGCAUAUCCCUUCUUGUUGCCCACACUGGGAAUUGAGAUGGGUAGUUACAUGUCAGAGGAAUCCUUUUGUCCUGAGGACAGGGUAUGGCAAAGAGAAAAAAGGAGUUUUUUCUCAGAACAGCUGCUCUGAUGAGUUCCCAGGGAAACAAGCAUUUGUUUAAGAUGGAAGGAAUUAAGUUCUUCAAAUCAUCAGUUUCCUUGGCCAUUCAAAACUUUCAUCAGCUCUCACCUCAUCAGUCCCUCUCUUUGAUGGAUGUCAGGGAGAGCUUUACCACCAAGCUUUGUGGAAGGAGAACUGAGCUAACAUGAAAGUAGUUUGUUGUGUGUGUGUGCCUGCAUGUGGUUAGCAGUGCAAAACAAGACUACAAGGCCUGCAGCUUUUCUGAGAUAUGCUCAUUUACAUCAAGAUGUGCUACCCAAUUACUACAGGGUCCUUUCAUAGCACUUUCCUUUUUUGAUUGUGGUGGAUCUUACACAUGUGAACGUUUAUGUGUGUGUACGUGAUGUGCAUGUGUAAGCCUUUACUGUGGUAUGGGAAGAGGAAAUGUAUUGUUUGCCCAUUUAAAGAGGAGAGUGUUGGGGGUUUUCUUUCUCAUAGGAAAUAAUCAUGCUUUGUAAGCACAUUUCUUGUAAGUAGGUAUGGUUGAAAUGUUUAUAUUUCACUUUCAAGAAGUAAACUACUCUGAAUAUAAUACCAGUUAUACAACACUUGCAUGACUGCAUUAUCAUUUGAACUGAUGUGGAAACUAUUUUAAAAAUCAUCUUUGCUUUCUGGUGCAAUAACUUUCUUUCUGACAUACCUGAGAGAUAGAAGAGUCUGUUCUCACAUUGGUGAGGUUGAAAGUAACUGAAGUGGAAACAAGGAUAUUAU